rnacentral:rRNA from 1 species
GAGAGUUUGAUCCUGGCUCAGGAUGAACGCUAGCGGGAGGCCUAACACAUGCAAGCCGAGCGGUAUUGUUUCUUCGGAAAUGAGAGAGCGGCGUACGGGUGCGGAACACGUGUGCAACCUGCCUUUAUCUGGGGGAUAGCCUUUCGAAAGGAAGAUUAAUACUCCAUAAUAUAUUGAACGGCAUCGUUUAAUAUUGAAAGCUCCGGCGGAUAGAGAUGGGCACGCGCAAGAUUAGCUAGUUGGUGAGGUAACGGCUCACCAAGGCGAUGAUCUUUAGGGGGCCUGAGAGGGUGAUCCCCCACACUGGUACUGAGACACGGACCAGACUCCUACGGGAGGCAGCAGUGAGGAAUAUUGGUCAAUGGGUGCAAGCCUGAACCAGCCAUCCCGCGUGAAGGACGACUGCCCUAUGGGUUGUAAACUUCUUUUGUAUAGGGAUAAACCUACCCUCGUGAGGGUAGCUGAAGGUACUAUACGAAUAAGCACCGGCUAACUCCGUGCCAGCAGCCGCGGUAAUACGGAGGGUGCAAGCGUUAUCCGGAUUUAUUGGGUUUAAAGGGUCCGUAGGCGGACUUAUAAGUCAGUGGUGAAAGCCUGUCGCUUAACGAUAGAACUGCCAUUGAUACUGUAAGUCUUGAGUAUAUUUGAGGUAGCUGGAAUAAGUAGUGUAGCGGUGAAAUGCAUAGAUAUUACUUAGAACACCNAUUGCGAAGGCAGGUUUACCAAGAUAUAACUGACGCUGAGGGACNAAAGCGUGGGGAGCGAACAGGAUUAGAUACCCUGGGUAGUCCACGCCGUAAACGAUGCUAACUCGUUUUUGGGCUUUAGGGNUUCAGAAGACCCAAGCGAAAGUGAUAAGUUANCCCANCUUGGG